CAGUUUCGUACCACGUAAAUAACGUGGCACUCUUCAUAUAAAAUAGCCUAUGUUUGACCUAAAACAUAGGUCAAACAUAGGCUAUUUUAUCUGAAGAGUGCCACGUUAUUUACGUGGUACGAAACUG